AUGUGUGUGUAUUUGUGUGUGUCUGUGUGAUAUAUCAUAUAUAUCAUACACACACACACACACACACACACACACACAUAUACACACACAUAU
rnacentral:miRNA from 1 species